CGUCCGGGGCGGGCUGCGGGCGGGCUGGGGGCGGGGAGCCGGGACCUACCCACGCGGUUCCCGCUUGCGUGGGGCUCAGGCCCGCGACGGGACGCACAGGCGUAAAGUGCAUGGUCCUGAGGGAGUGAAGGGCGGAGGAAGGUGGCGUGGACACUUCAGGCUUGCCUGUCAAGUGCCAGCACAGAAUUGGUGCCAGAGAGAUCUGCAGCCCAUCCCAGAACUACCUGCAGCCCGUUGAGAGUUUUAUGAAACUAGUCCAUAAUGUUGCUGCCUCUAUGUCCGUGGAGCAUAGCCAGGCAGCCUGCAAGGGCUUUGGACCAGCACCAGCCCCUGCCAUGAGCACAUGCCCUAGAUAAAGCCUGCAGAGUCACAGCAAGUGAAGUUCCUGACGUGACUGCCCUGCAGCCCUGGUGAUGCACAUGGACCCAGCCCCGUGCCGAUCUGAGCUGGCCUGCAAACUCACCUUAGCCACUGGGACGUGGCAGGAAGGGUGCCGAGCCGUGUCUAUGCCCAGCAUUGAGGAAAGCUGGCAGCGCCUCACACCCACCGGGAGGGCUAGCGAAACAACACAGCACAACCGAAAAACAACCAGAAAGUAACAAGUAUUGGCAAGGACAGGAGAAAUUGGAAACUCAUUUGCUGCGGGUAGGAAAGUAAAAGGUGCAGCUGCUGUGGAAAACAGUCUGGCAGCUCCUCAAAAAAUGAGACCUAGGAUUCCCGUGUGACCAGCAAUCCCACGUCCUGUUACGUUGCCUGAGGGAGUGAAAGCAGGGAUCAAGCAGAUGCCUGCACACCCGUGCUCACAGCCCCCGAGAGCUGGAAGCAGCCCGAGCAGCCAUCAUGGGUGAUCCAUGUGGUUGGCCACACGAUGGGCUUUCAUUUAGCCUUAGGAAGGAACGAAGUGCUGACUUGGGCUACGAUGUGGAUCUUGGAAACAUGAUGCUCAGUCAGAGGAACCAGACACAGAAGACCCAUAUUGUGGAUCCAUUCUGUGAGGUCUCUGAUGGUGACACGGGGGCUGGUGACACGGCCAUGACUCUUCUGGGAAUUCUAGAUGCCAGAGGCUGUCUGAUGUGUGUUGGGGGGGGCAGACCCCCACCAGAGAGUUUGGGGAGGGUGGUGGGAGAGCCAGAGAGGAGCUAGCAGACCUGUCUCCCAGCAGAGGCGCUUCACUGGAGGCGGGCAUGUUCCAACUCUCUAAAUCGAGUUUGGAGUUUGCAUUAUUUCUAGUCCUGGAUGCUUGUAAUGACUUGAGUUGACGGGUUUAUAUCUUAACAUAACCCUAGAACUUUGAAAUUCUGUUUGAGCCAAAAACAUGAUGCAGCUGUCCAAAUGUGUAUCUAGGGGCAAAGACAGAACUCCUCCACUGAAUAAAUAUUAAGAGUCUUGCUUGUUCAGUGUCCUGGUGAUAUAUAUUUUAAAGCGUGUCAUAUAAGUCAGUGUAAUAAACUGAUUUUAGCAGAUAACAUGUAGUUGGUUAAUUGAUUCAUUAUCUCAUCCAACAAAUAUUUAUGCGGUGUUUGACAUUUCCGGGCAUCCUGCUAGGCAUUGGGGUACAGCGGUGAGUCACAGCAGAUGCAGUUACUUCCCCUGAUUGCCAGGAGGGGAGGUCGUUAAACAGUGUGACACAGAUGGUGCCCUCAUGCAGAGGGGUGGAGCGGAGGUGCAGGUGCCUCCAGAAGGGGCUCUGGAGGUGGGAUCUGAGAGGCAGGAGCUCAGCUGACACAGAGGAAGGGAAUG